rnacentral:rRNA from 1 species
GGCGACUCUCUGGUCUGUAACUGACGCUGAGGAGCGAAAGCGUGGGGAGCGAACAGGAUUAGAUACCCUGGUAGUCCACGCCGUAAACGAUGAGUGCUAAGUGUUAGGGGGUUUCCGCCCUUUAGUGCUGCAGCUAACGCAUUAAGCACUCCGCCUGGGGAGUACGGUCGCAAGACUGAAACUCAAAGGAAUUGACGGGGGCCCGCACAAGCGGUGGAGCAUGUGGUUUAAUUCGAAGCAACGCGAAGAACCUUACCAGGUCUUGACAUCCUCUGACAAUCCUAGAGAUAGGACGUCCCCUUCGGGGGCAGAGUGACAGGUGGUGCAUGGUUGUCGUCAGCUCGUGUCGUGAGAUGUUGGGUUAAGUCCCGCAACGAGCGCAACCCUUGAUCUUAGUUGCCAGCAUUCAGUUGGGCACUCUAAGGUGACUGCCGGUGACAAACCGGAGGAAGGUGGGGAUGACGUCAAAUCAUCAUGCCCCUUAUGACCUGGGCUACACACGUGCUACAAUGGGCAGAACAAAGGGCAGCGAAACCGCGAGGUUAAGCCAAUCCCACAAAUCUGUUCUCAGUUCGGAUCGCAGUCUGCAACUCGACUGCGUGAAGCUGGAAUCGCUA